rnacentral:tRNA from 1 species
AGAAACUUAGGNUAACAUCAAACCAAGAGCCUUCAAAGCUCUAAACAGGGAACACCCCCCUAGCUUCUG